AGGAUGAACGCUGGCGGCGUGCUUAACACAUGCAAGUCGAACGGUGAAGUGAGGAGCUUGCUCCUUGCGGAUCAGUGGCGAACGGGUGAGUAACACGUGAGUAACCUGCCCUUGACUCUGGGAUAAGCGUUGGAAACGACGUCUAAUACCGGAUACGACCUCCGAAGGCAUCUUCUGGAGGUGGAAAGAAUUUCGGUCAAGGAUGGACUCGCGGCCUAUCAGCUAGUUGGUGAGGUAAUGGCCCACCAAGGCGACGACGGGUAGCCGGCCUGAGAGGGUGACCGGCCACACUGGGACUGAGACACGGCCCAGACUCCUACGGGAGGCAGCAGUGGGGAAUAUUGCACAAUGGGCGCAAGCCUGAUGCAGCAACGCCGCGUGAGGGACGACGGCCUUCGGGUUGUAACCUCUUUAGUAGGGAAGAAGCGAUGCGCUUGACGCAUCAUGACGGUACCUGCAGAAAAGCACCGGCUAACUACGUGCCAGCA
rnacentral:rRNA from 1 species